rnacentral:rRNA from 1 species
CCUACGGGUGGCUGCAGUGGGGAAUAUUGCACAAUGGGCGCAAGCCUGAUGCAGCCAUGCCGCGUGUAUGAAGAAGGCCUUCGGGUUGUAAAGUACUUUCAGCGGGGAGGAAGGGAGUAAAGUUAAUACCUUUGCUCAUUGACGUUACCCGCAGAAGAAGCACCGGCUAACUCCGUGCCAGCAGCCGCGGUAAUACGGAGGGUGCAAGCGUUAAUCGGAAUUACUGGGCGUAAAGCGCACGCAGGCGGUUUGUUAAGUCAGAUGUGAAAUCCCCGGGCUCAACCUGGGAACUGCAUCUGAUACUGGCAAGCUUGAGUCUCGUAGAGGGGGGUAGAAUUCCAGGUGUAGCGGUGAAAUGCGUAGAGAUCACGCAGAACCCCGAUUGCGAAGGCAGCAUGCCGGCUUCCGACUGACGCUGAAGCACGAAAGCGUGGGGAUCGAACAGGAUUAGAUACCCUGGUAGUC